rnacentral:rRNA from 1 species
AAUAUUGCGCAAUGGGCGGAAGCCUGACGCAGCGACGCCGCGUGGGGGAUGACGGCCUUCGGGUUGUAAACCUCUUUCACCCACGACGAAGCGAGAGUGACGGUAGUGGGAGAAGAAGCACCGGCCAACUACGUGCCAGCAGCCGCGGUAAUACGUAGGGUGCAAGCGUUGUCCGGAAUUAUUGGGCGUAAAGAGCUCGUAGGCGGUUUGUUGCGUCGGCUGUGAAAUCCCGAGGCUCAACCUCGGGUCUGCAGUCGAUACGAGCAAACUAGAGUGUUGCAGGGGAGACUGGAAUUCCUGGUGUAGCGGUGAAAUGCGCAGAUAUCAGGAGGAACACCGGUGGCGAAGGCGGGUCUCUGGGCAACAACUGACGCUGAGGAGCGAAAGCCAGGGGAGCAAAC